UUAGCCGGACAAUUGUUGGUUUAUACUAAAUACAUUGGGUGUAUAUUGUAUAGUUGCAUAUGUUGACAGAAAAUUAUAAUAUACGAAUUUCAAUAAGCGCACAAUAGCGGAGAUCACCGCUUACACGAUUUCGGUUUCACUAUGCAUUAAUUUUCAACGUGCCUUUAUCUUUACGGAUAGCGAUGAUAAUCUGAUGAUAUAACCUCAGACUCUAAAAACAAGACACCAUAUUGAUUGGGUCUUGGGUGGUCCAUUUAGUUGCCAAGUUUGUUGUGAGCCUGUGACGCACACUAACAUUGUUGGUAUUGUAUAUUAAGAACCGAGAGGACGUCAGUACACUAUAAUAAUUUUUCCUUUCCGACAUUAACGCGUAACCUGGGUGUAUAGUAAAUAUGCGUUCAGAAGAACCAAUUUUAUGUGGUUAACUUAGCAUUAGAUUGCAGAAUAUGGAAAUAUGUUGAUGAAAGAUUGCACAUAGAGAAAGGCUGGUCCAUCAAAAGGAUACGUCUUUAACGCGAUGAACUGAAAACUCGGGACAUAUCAGCGACGAGAUUUUUAUCGCAUUACUAUUACGAUCUACGAUGCGUUACGAUAUAUACUGCAAAUUGCAAUAUAAAAAAAUCUCCUGAAUGCUAUUAACGGUUCAACAAGGACGGAAUUGGUGUAAACUGGCCAUUCAAGAAAAACUACGAAGUUACAAACAAAGAUAGUGGCGGUGCCAAGGGCGGACACGGGUGGGCAAUUACCCUCCCUGAAAACCUCUGGCCCAUCCAUUGGCUCGCCCUGAAAUUUUACGAAAAUUGAAAAUUUUAAAAUUUACAUCAAAACCUAGUUUAAAUAUUUUGCAUUGUCUUUUAUUAGUAUACAUAAUACGUACGAGAAGAAAAUAUAAAUGCAUAAUAUAGAAACACGAUAAAUAAUAUCUUUAAUGAUCUAUGUUGUAUGAUGCAGGGUCUGCCUGGGUGGGCCCAGACAGGAAUUAUUUUCUGGUACCCAAUAAUUUUAUACUGUAUUUCGGGGUAACACAGUACAAGGGCCUAAGAACUAUAAUACAUCAGGGGCCUAGGCAGGAAUCCUGGCCCUCCGGCUUUGGCCAGGCCGACCCUGGUAUGAUGUGAUUUUUACUUGUUAGUGUUGUUCUUAUAUGAACAUAAAUUAUAUAAAUUAUAUAAA